rnacentral:misc_RNA from 1 species
GAUGAAGAACGUAGCGAAAUGCGAUAACUAAUGUGAAUUGCAGAAUUCAGUGAAUCAUCGAGUCUUUGAACGCACAUUGCGCCCCCUGGUAUUCCGGGGGGCAUGCCUGUCCGAGCGUCAUUGCGGCCCUCAAGCACGGCUUGUGUGUUGGGCUCCGUCCCCCCGGGGACGGGUCCGAAAGGCAGCGGCGGCACCGAGUCCGGUCCUCGAGCGUAUGGGGCUUUGUCACCCGCUCUGUAGGCCCGGCCGGCGCCAGCCGACAACCAAUCAUCCUUUUUUCAGGUUGACCUCGGAUCAGGUAGGGAUACCCGCUGAACUUAAGCAUAUCAAUAAGCGGAGGA